GGGGUCUGAGGUCACCUAACUCAUCCGAUGCCUCUGAUGGCGGAGAACCUUGUCUGAUCUAUGGGUUUGAGGCUCUCCCAUGUGCAUGUUACACCCAAAAAUAGCAUCGAGGUCACCUAUAGAUGGAUCUGAGGUCUCCACAUGGGCAAAAGGCCAUCCAACUUUGAAGGCCUCCAAUUCUUAAACAGGAGGUUAACCUCAUUCUUAAAUGAGGGUGAAGGCUUAUGUUCUUA
rnacentral:lncRNA from 1 species